rnacentral:ncRNA from 2 species
UAAAAAUCAUACAUGCACCGUCGUAUAAUAUUGGGGAUAUGGCCCAAGAGUUUCUACCGAACUACCGUAAAUGGUUCGACUACGAGGUGAAUUAUCGAUGAU